rnacentral:rRNA from 1 species
CAUGCAAGUCGAGCGAACGGACGAGAAGCUUGCUUCUCUGAUGUUAGCGGCGGACGGGUGAGUAACACGUGGAUAACCUACCUAUAAGACUGGGAUAACUUCGGGAAACCGGAGCUAAUACCGGAUAAUAUUUUGAACCGCAUGGUUCAAAAGUGAAAGACGGUCUUGCUGUCACUUAUAGAUGGAUCCGCGCUGCAUUAGCUAGUUGGUAAGGUAACGGCUUACCAAGGCAACGAUGCAUAGCCGACCUGAGAGGGUGAUCGGCCACACUGGAACUGAGACACGGUCCAGACUCCUACGGGAGGCAGCAGUAGGGAAUCUUCCGCAAUGGGCGAAAGCCUGACGGAGCAACGCCGCGUGAGUGAUGAAGGUCUUCGGAUCGUAAAACUCUGUUAUUAGGGAAGAACAUAUGUGUAAGUAACUGUGCACAUCUUGACGGUACCUAAUCAGAAAGCCACGGCUAACUACGUGCCAGCAGCCGCGGUAAUACGUAGGUGGCAAGCGUUAUCCGGAAUUAUUGGGCGUAAAGCGCGCGUAGGCGGUUUUUUAAGUCUGAUGUGAAAGCCCACGGCUCAACCGUGGAGGGUCAUUGGAAACUGGAAAACUUGAGUGCAGAAGAGGAAAGUGGAAUUCCAUGUGUAGCGGUGAAAUGCGCAGAGAUAUGGAGGAACACCAGUGGCGAAGGCGACUUUCUGGUCUGUAACUGACGCUGAUGUGCGAAAGCGUGGGGAUCAAACAGGAUUAGAUACCCUGGUAGUCCACGCCGUAAACGAUGAGUGCUAAGUGUUAGGGGGUUUCCGCCCCUUAGUGCUGCAGCUAACGCAUUAAGCACUCCGCCUGGGGAGUACGACCGCAAGGUUGAAACUCAAAGGAAUUGACGGGGACCCGCACAAGCGGUGGAGCAUGUGGUUUAAUUCGAAGCAACGCGAAGAACCUUACCAAAUCUUGACAUCCUUUGACAACUCUAGAGAUAGAGCCUUCCCCUUCGGGGGACAAAGUGACAGGUGGUGCAUGGUUGUCGUCAGCUCGUGUCGUGAGAUGUUGGGUUAAGUCCCGCAACGAGCGCAACCCUUAAGCUUAGUUGCCAUCAUUAAGUUGGGCACUCUAAGUUGACUGCCGGUGACAAACCGGAGGAAGGUGGGGAUGACGUCAAAUCAUCAUGCCCCUUAUGAUUUGGGCUACACACGUGCUACAAUGGACAAUACAAAGGGCAGCGAAACCGCGAGGUCAAGCAAAUCCCAUAAAGUUGUUCUCAGUUCGGAUUGUAGUCUGCAACUCGACUACAUGAAGCUGGAAUCGCUAGUAAUCGUAGAUCAGCAUGCUACGGUGAAUACGUUCCCGGGUCUUGUACACACCGCCCGUCACACCACGAGAGUUUGUAACACCCGAAGCCGGUGGAGUAACCUUUUAGGAGCUAGCCGUCGAAGGUGGGACAAAUGAUUGGGGUGAAGUC